rnacentral:lncRNA from 10 species
CGCAUCUGUGAUGAGAAUGUAAAUGUGCCAGUGUGGAGUGGCCACGUGUGUGUGCCAGUAUAUGGCCCUGGCUCUGCAUUGGACCUGCUAUGAGGCUUUGGAGGAAUCCCUCACCCUCUCUGGGCCUCAGUUUCCCCUUCAAAAAAUGAAUAAGUCGGACUUAUUAACUCUGAGUGCCUUGCCAGCACUAACAUUCUAGAGUAUUCCAGAGUUGGUCCAAGGAGGGAGAGUGGGUUCUCAAUACGGUACCAAAGAUAUAAUCACCUAGGUUUACAAAUAUUUUUAGGACUCACGUUAACUCACAUUUAUACAGCAGAAAUGCUAUUUUGUAUGCUGUUGAGUUUUUCUAUCUGUGUACUUUUUUUUAAGGGAAAGAUUUUAAUAUUAAACCUGGUGCUUCUCACUC